CCUACGGGGGGCAGCAGUGGGGGAUAUUGCACAAUGGGGGGAACCCUGAUGCAGCGACGCCGCGUGGGUGAAGAAGCGCCUCGGCGCGUAAAGCCCUGUCAGCAGGGAAGAAAAUGACGGCACCUGAAGAAGAAGCCCCGGCUAACUACGUGCCAGCAGCCGCGGUAAUACGUAGGGGGCAAGCGUUAUCCGGAUUUACUGGGUGUAAAGGGGGCGCAGGCGGCGAUGCAAGCCAGGAGUGAAAGCCCGGGGCCCAACCCCGGGACUGCUCAUGGAACUGCGUGGCUAGAGUGCAGGAGGGGAAAGCGGAAUUCCUGGUGUAGCGGUGAAAUGCGUAGAUAUCAGGAGGAACACCAGUGGCGAAGGCGGCCUGCUGGACUGCAACUGACGUUGAGGCCCGAAAGCGUGGGGAGCAAACAGGAUUAGAUACCCGAGUAGUC
rnacentral:rRNA from 1 species